rnacentral:lncRNA from 1 species
UUGUAAAAUGACUUGAUUAUUUUAAGUUUAGAUAUGAACUCUGUUAAAAUCAGUUUCUGAAUAAUUUAGAAUAUUAGUUUUCCCUAAACAUAAUAUAAAUUAACUUCUUAUAUUUGAAAUAUUAAAUAACUAUUUAUAUUUGCACUCACCUGGAAAAAUACAGACAAUUCGAAAUAUAUAACUUUAUUUGUUGAUGGUCGCUUUGCAAGUGACCACAAACGCCACCAAAAAUACUAAGGUCAUGUGACUUUGUUUCCAGGUGAGGCACAAGAAAGUUUAUUUCUUAAUUUAACAAAGCAUUAACUGAUUGAGACCCCUUGACGGUCCUCAUGCCUCAUUACAUCAUAAAUAUUUAUCGCUUGGGUUUUAGGCUGAAUAAGCGCUAAUUGAAAAGACUCUUAAGAUUAAUUGUUCUUUACAUAAGAGAAAUCUAAAGACUAUGUAAAGCUGUGACUUUAUCUAUUAUUUAUCAAAAGUCUUAUUUCCUUCUUUGUGAAAUCUAUUUGACACUUACAUGGCUUAAUUUUAAAUUAUAACACAAAAAGCUUUGUAAACGAAAAUCGUUACAUGUUAAUAAAUUGACACAUUUAUUUCUUUAUCCAAUUUUUACUUAAAUAAUUGAAUUUAUUUAUUUCAUAUAAAAUUUAAUUGUAAAUUUUAUAAAUAAGUUAAUAAGACGUGAUGUCCACUUUUGCCCUGUCAC